CACACUCUUGCCCUACGAAACCGCGAGAAGAGUUCAAAGCGGGAGUCCCGCACUCCCUGUGGGAGGCAGCUCCUGCCAGCCCCCCGGGCCAGCCCAGCCAGCCGCACCGCCUCCCCGCUCCAUGCUCAGCCCCGGGCGGCGGGCAGGGCCAGCACCCACCACUGCAGGACGGGGAGUUACUCUUUACCCAUGUGGAAAUGCUCAAUGGAAGGAGCUCCAGCCAUGACCUGUCUCUCUGCUGGCACGAGAGCUGGAAGGGAUGCGUCUGCACCUCUUGUUUUUCCCUCUCUGGGUGGGGAGGCACAGAGGGCCAGGAGCCAGGACCAUGGCACUCCAGCAGCUGAACAUCUCAGGGACCACUGAGGACCUUGCAGGCUGCAUUUGUUUGCACACAAGAUGUGAAUAAUGAAGGAGUCUACAAAAUUCAGCUGGCGAAAUUCUAUCAGAGUUUGCAAGAAACAAAACAAACACAAAAACAGCCCAUCAAGUAAAAAUGGCUGAUAGAUGCAAAAGGCAACACAGAUGGAGGUAAUGGAAUUUCAAAAGAGGAAUUAGAGAAUAUCUGAAUGGAAGCUCGUAAAUCUGCAGCAAUUCAGCUUUGCCAAGAAUUGCAGUGGGAAAUCCUCAUUAUGGGAGAUAUUUCCAUUCUGUACUCACUGAUGAGAACUUUGCUAGGGCAACCACAGGGAAAGCAGGAGAGCCAGCCAUCAGCAUUCCUGAGCCCUGCCAGCCUGCAGUGCUGACUCACAAGGCAGCCUUG
rnacentral:lncRNA from 1 species